rnacentral:lncRNA from 1 species
AAUUUUCAGGAGUGUCAAUUUUCGCUUCCCAAUUCGCCAGAAAGGUUAGCUCAAUUCCCCUUUUUCAUCAGCUUCCCUACAUAGUAAGUCAGCACAAUUCGAAAAAUAAAAGUUUGUCAUGCUCUUUCCUAGUUUCUGUUGCGCUAUGUCUUCUUUGUUUACUUUUCGAUGUAGAGUUUGAAAGCAAAAUUGUUUAAGUAUUCUUGUGGAUCUAUGUAUUAUUACAAGUAUUGCGUUAAAUUGUGGUUCAUUAUUUUGUGGGUUGCUUUGUUCUCGAGUUUCUAAUUACAAAUGGGUGUGUACUUCUAAAAAUCUAGGUUUUAUAGUAUAUGUUUUGCUCUUCAAUUUUUCUCCAAAAUUGUUAAAGUUAAUAAUAGGAAAUCAUGUGAGUUCAUCCUAGAAUAGCAUCACAAUCUCGUUGCCUACUACUUUUUGUUAGGGUAGUUGGAAAUUGGGGGGUGGGGGUGGGAGGAAGGGGUUUCAUUUAGCAGGGAAAGAAGAAUUGAAAAACUUUUGGCUCCCUGCAAUUGUUCCAUUGAUUUUUCUUAACCUUUCGAUGUUUAUCUUCUAUGCUAAAAAAUAUGGUGUUUAAAUUAUGAGUUUUUGAUAAAUUAAAUAUUUAUGAUUUUUAUUUUUAUCGGUCAGUAUUUUUUGUGUGCUUUACAUUCUAUUUAGUUAUAAUCUUAAGGUGAUGCACAGUGCAAAGGUUUUAGGAUUAGUGGGUUGGCAUGAUAUCAAUGAUGGGUAAGUUAUGUUCUUAACUCAUUUUGGCCAGGCUUCUUUUAGAGAAAACUUUAUAUAAUAUGCUUCCUGAAUAACAUGAAGCUACAAUAAUUGAAGACCAUUUGCAACAUCGAAUAUCAGUUGCAUAAAGUAGCAGAGAGUAAUUUGUUUCAUAUUCUCUUGCAGUUGUUAUUCAUACAGAUACUGGCAGGAUUCAUGGCUUGGAAGAUUUAAGUAAGUCCCUCAAGAUAUAGAUAAGAUGUUGAAGUAAGCUAGUUACAUAUAAAUUUUAUUUGUUAUGAUAUACGAGAAAAUUACUUUGUACUUUAUCUCUCAUGUUAAUAUUAUCAAAUUCAGUGUAAUGCCAUUUCUACACCAAGUGCUCGAGACUUAUAUAUUUGAGAUUUGGGAUCUUUUUUUCUUCUCAUGUUACAAUAUUUUUCCAUUUAGCCUGCAAGAAAAAUGUUAGAAAGUCUAUUAUUUUUUGUGUUAACUAUUUUUAUUCAAUUGUUUCAGCAUAGUGACAUUAAGAGUGUGCCUACUUGUAUCACCGGAUGGCAGCAAUACGAAUAACUGAUCAAAUACUUAGCACUUUUGUGUAUUUAAGUAAUUAUUAUGGAGCUACUCUAGCUUAUAUUAUGUUUAAGUUAGCGUAUAUGAGUUUGUAUUACUUAGUUUAUAUGUAUUUGAAUUUGUGAUGUUUGUUACUAUUGUUUAAGAAAUACCUCUAUUGCACUCUUUCCCAUUCACCUUUUCAUAAUGCAUGAUCUCUUUGGGUGCAAAGAACUAUGGUGAAGAAAUAUAUUUCACUGGUGAAUAUGUGUACAAAAGUUUGCGGAUUGUUGUACUGGCAUGAUAGCAUUGAGGUUUAAGUUAUGCUUCUUAACUUGUUUCUUGACCAGGUGUUCAUUUCACAGAAAGCUUAUCUUUACAUAACAAAUUUCUUGGAUUAUUGGAAGCUACAGUAAUUGGAAGAACACUUGCAGCAUCGACGACCAGUUGAAGUUACAAAGAAAUGGCAGCGUUCUACAUUUUCAAUCCUUGCACUUCUCUUCCCCAGGUUAUGUUAAGUAACCAAGAAUAAUUUGUCUCAUAUUCUUCAGUUAUUACUUACAAAGAUUAUUGUGAAAUUUAUGCCUUAUAAAAUUUGAUUAAGUCACUUAAGAAACGAGAUACUGAAGUAAGCUGGUAGUACAUAAGUUCAAUUUUUUCGGUUGAAGUUUUAGCACUAUUUUUGCUUCUUUUACUUGAAGUUAGCUCCAAAAGAUUGACACUGGUUUGUUUGUUUAACUAAUUAUUAGUUCCUUCUUAUUUUAUCAGUUUAUUUGUUGUAUCAGUGUUCCAGUGUUGUUAGCAUUUAACUUUGUAAGUUAACUUCCGUAUUGAGCUGUAUUGUAGCUUAUAAUUUGUUUCUUUAAUUCUAAUGUUAGAAAGCCUAUUUAGGUUGAAUUAAUACUUAGUAGUUACAUAGUUGGUCUUUUUCAUGAAUAUAUAGCUAGAAUCUAUUUUUCCAAGUAGAAUAGUUUGUGGAGUUAAGUUUUGUGAUGAUAUACGAGGAAAUAACUUUGUACUUAUGAAGACAAAGAAGGAGACUGGAUGCUUGUUGGAGAUGUUCCGUGGGAGUAUGUCCUGCAUCUGCCACUUUGCUCUUCCUGCACGUUAAUGUGUUGCAAAAACUCAACAGAUACAUAGUACUUUAUGUCUUUGUUAUCCUAAAGUGAAAAAUGAAUAGGAGAAGUUGCUUAUUAAAUAAUUGGUGGAUUAAUUCAUCAACAUGAAUUGGCAAUUUGUAAGAUAGGGGUUGCUAGACUAAUCAAGGACAUGUACGAUGGAGCUAAGACUAGGGUUAGGACGGUGGGUGGCGACUCAGACCAUUUUCCAGUGGUUGUGGGGCUCCAUCAAGGAUCGNNN